CUUCCUAUGUUCAGUACCGCAACCCUUUAGGUCCUUGUGAAAAUAAAUUGUUUUGUUAUUAAUUGGGACAUUCUGUCUACGUCCUCUGAUAGCAUGAGUUAACUUUCUUUUUUAUGGUUGCUAUGAAGCUUUUGCUUUCUUUGGUCUCAUCUUAAAUAAGGGUGGUUUGAGGCUUGUUGAUUUGGAUAUGCAUGGGGUAUUGCUAGUUGAGUUGGUUAAGCCAUUGUUUUCUUGUUUAAUAUCUCGAUAAUUAGGCGAGUUUGGUGAGGGAUUUCAAUUUUCCUAGGGUUCUUGUGGUGAAAAUGAGUGAGGGUGGCUUUUCCAGGUUUGUGAGGGAGUUUAAUACGCUUAUCAAGGAAUUAGGAUUUGAACUCUUGGACCUUCCUCUUGUUAAUAGUAGAUUUAUGUGGCCCGACUUAAUGACUUGGAGUUACUUUUCUUUUAAUCAUUGGCCUAUCUUUUGGGGUAUAGGUCCUAUUUCGUGUGGUCCUGCCCUUCUAGAUUUGGAAAUAUAUUGCUCUCUCAUCCCUCUUUAACAUGCUCAUUCCUUUUCUAGUGGUGACUUUUAAGGAGUCAUUGAUUAUUUGGGGCUAUCAGUUUUCUUAUUCUCUUUGGAGUCGUUGCCUUGUGCUUGGGGUGGUGUGGGUGCAUAACAAGGAUUGUCUAACCAUGAUUAAGGAGAUCUUGAUGGACUCACCCUUUUGUGAAAAGGGAAGAGUGUUGUGGCAAUGUUCCUUCUCUAUUUUAUGGGAGGUGCGGCUUGAGAGGAUUUACAUUAUGUUUAGAGGGGCUGAGAGAUAUUUGGAAGAGCUGUAGGAGGUGUUGAGGUUUAAUAGCUCUUUAUGGGCAUCCAUGAAUUUUAUUUUUUGUUGUAAUUAUCAGAUAGGUUUUAUUCUUUUGGAUCAAAGUUCUUAUAGAUAGUCGAGGACUCCUUUUGUGGCUUUGUUUUGUAUGUCUUUGUACAUUGUUUACUUUUUUCAAUAAAAGCUUGGUUUCAUGUCAACAAAAAAAUCUCUCCUUUCCUAGUGGGGGUGUGUCGAAGAUGAUGGUGGGAGGGUUUUCAAUUAUGUGAAAGUUGUUCUCGGUAAAGUUGGUUUUAAGAGUCUGGAACAGGAAUAGUGAUGUGUUUGAGGGUUGUAAGU